AAGCUCUUAUCAAGAUAAGACAUUGAAGAAUGUUUUCAACUCUUACCCAUGGCAUGCAAUCUGAGGCAAAUAGACAGUCAUUUCAACUCAUGAUGAGCAAUGAACAUGAUAUAGAGCACAUGAUGAGCAGAUGCAGAAUCCAAAGGAAAAUUCAAGAAAGGUUCUCUAUACAUCAGAGAGACUGCUGAUGGUGAAUUUGAGACUACUCAAGACUGAAGAAGAGCCAAACAAUAGGAAGAA